GACAGAGGUCUCAAGCGUUAGGCGGAAUCACUGGGCUUAAAGCGUGUGUAGGCGGAUCGUUAAGUGCUUUGUGAAAUCCCACAGCUCAACUGUGGAACUGCUUGGCAUACUGGCGGUCUUGAGCCAUCUAGGGGUCGCUGGAACAAACGGUGGGGCGGUGAAAUGCGUAGAUAUCGUUUGGAACGCCAAUGGUGAAAACAGGCGACUGGGGAUGUGCUGACGCUGAGACGCGAAAGCGUGGGGAGCGAACAGG
rnacentral:rRNA from 1 species